rnacentral:rRNA from 1 species
CGCGGUAAUUUGACCGUGCUAAGGUAGCAUAAUCAUUUGUCUUUUAAUUGAAGACUGGUAUGAAAGGUGAGACGAGAAAUAAGCUGUCUUUAUGAAAAAUUUUGAAUUUUAUUUUUUAGUGAAAAAGCUAAAAUGUUUUUGUGGGACGAUAAGACCCUAUAGAUCUUUACUAUUUGUAUCUUUUAAUUUGGAGAAUAUAGUUUUAUUGGGGCGAUAAGAAGAAAAAUCUAUCUCUUUUAUAAAUUAAAUAUUUAUUUAUAGAUGAAUUUUGGAUCCUAGAAGUUGGAUUAAUAGAAUAAGUUACCUUAGGGAUAACAGCGUAAUGUUUCUUGAGAGUUCUUAUCGAAAGAAAUGUUUGCGACCUCGAUGUU